rnacentral:rRNA from 1 species
AUGGACUGCGUGAUCCAUGUGGUGCUGGGGGUGGCCAUGCGGAGGUGCAUCUGCCGGCUGCACGAGGUCGUCGCCAUGGCGAUGGAGGUCGGCACGGCGCUGCUCGUGGCCGUACGGUUCUCCGGCAUGGCCUUCCGCCACACACCAGCGCCGACUCAGGCGGUCUCGGGGUCGACUCAGGCAGUCUCGGGGUCGACGCACUACUACUACUACGCCCCCGUGGCUGCCUCCAUGGUUGGCAUGUCCCGGCUCGACAGGCACUAG